AUUGAACGCUGGCGGCAUGCCUUACACAUGCAAGUCGAACGGUAACAGGUCUUUCGGGAUGCUGACGAGUGGCGAACGGGUGAGUAAUACAUCGGAACGUGCCUAGUAGUGGGGGAUAACUACUCGAAAGAGUGGCUAAUACCGCAUGAGAUCUAUGGAUGAAAGCGGGGGACCUUCGGGCCUUGUGCUACUAGAGCGGCCGAUGGCAGAUUAGGUAGUUGGUGGGAUAAAAGCUUACCAAGCCUGCGAUCUGUAGCUGGUCUGAGAGGACGAUCAGCCACACUGGGCCGGAGACACGGCCCAGACUCCUACGGGAGGCAGCAGUUGGGAAUUUUGGACAAUGGGGGAAACCCUGAUCCAGCAAUGCCGCGUGCAGGAUGAAGGCCUUCGGGUUGUAAACUGCUUUUGUACGGAACGAAAAGUCUUGGGUUAAUACCCUGGGAUCAUGACGGUACCGUAAGAAUAAGCACCGGCUAACUACGUGCCAGCCGCCGCCGUAA
rnacentral:rRNA from 1 species